UAGCGUGAUUAUCACACGGUCGUGACCAGGUCCACGGUUUAUAUAUGUUUUUCAAAACCUGCCCAAAUGCUUAUUCUUUGUUCAAUAUUUGCAAAAUUUUGCAUAUUAAAUUCUCAAAGAUAGCUUUUGUAAAUUACAUAAUUUGAUUUUGAUUUUAUAUUCCUGAAAUUUAAAUAUAUUGAUUUGAAUAUGCCCAAUUUGACGUAUUUUACCGGCUUUUAUGGUGCUUCAGAAAAAACUUGCAGAACACAGUAACUUAUCUUUUUCACGAAUCAGAUUGUCUUAAAACUUGCUAGAGGUGUUAAAUAUUGUGCAUGGGACUGUUGUUUGUGAAUAGCUACUCAAAAUAAUAAGAUUUACACGCUCUGAAAAUCACCUUUUUGUCUAAAAAUCUACGAAAAACAUGGCCGCGGUGCGCAAAUAAUGAGUUGGUUAUUUCAAAAAUGUCCUAUUAUUCUUCAGUAAAACUUCUUGUUAAUUUAAGACUCUAAUAACUUGCUUGACAUACCCAUAGGCAAAUAUCUGUUAUCGGUGUAAUUACACCUUUGGAGAAAAGCGUGAUUCGCACGUUUUAAUUUCAUCAUUCGCCGCCUGAAGAGACAAGAUGGCGGAGCUUGCGAAAUCGAAAGUAAGUAGAUUUGCACUUUUGAAAUAAAAUCUUGUAGAUUCUAGAUCUUUCUGAUUGACAGUCACUUGUUUAUCUUAUUUAUCUGUUUCCACAUAUAAUAUGGAUCUAGUAGAUUACAUACAACCAGUUUAAAAUAAUAACAUCUACAGUAGUGUGCGGGUGCUCUAAGACUUCUUGAAGUUCUUCAGCCAAAGCCUGGCCAGAGUGACAUAAUUUUACAAUAUAGAUCUAGGUCUACUAAGCAGUUGUAAUUGUGAUUUAUUAGCUGUUUUUAACUACUGAAAUUCGAAAAAAGUGAUCCGUAAUUAGAUGUUCAGUUGGAAAUGUAAUCCAAAAAUUUAAAACGGGAUCCAUAUCAUAUGGAACAGAGGAGAUAUUGAGAUAUUUUGAAAUUAAUUUAAAAAAAAAACAUUUAUCAAAAGGGGAUUCGGUUAAAGAUUGGUACUUGAAAGUCAAUGGUUGAUCAUGAUGACCAUCUUUAAUUUAAUGGGGAAAGGUUAACCAAUAUUUGCAGCUGGAGAGGCUAUCACCACAGUUCAAUGAUUUAGUUAACACAAUGAAAUAGAAGAACUUCAUGCUAACACUUGCAUCAGUGGACGUACUUCUUAUUGGAUAGAGAACUUUACAAGGUCAGCCAUCAGCUUUUGAAGUUGCUUUCUUGGCACAUCAUGCUGUCCAGUGGAGUUCAUACCAUAUGCCAGGCCUUUAUUCAUGGUCAAAGAAGAUGAAUUUGUUAUUCAAUUUGUGAAAUUUGAUUUAAGGAGGACUUCCAUAUAUGAUGAUUAUAUUCAGCAGAUUAUCUUCAAGUGUGCACUUCAUAGAUUAAUUGAAAAAUAAGUAAACCUAUCAUACUCACCAUGGCAUCGGCAUUGGCAUUACACCAGUUUUAAGUUUUUCUUACCAGUCCAUAUUUUAAAAGGACCUUUUGAAAGUAUUGAGACUUACAACAGUAAUUUAUCAUCAGUUAUACCAUGUUUUAGGCAAAAGUACAUAACUCCAUCAAGGAUUUGACUGAACUAUGGCCCUUUGAAACUUUUGUCACUUGUUUAUUAUAAUAGUCUCUAUAGGCAAGAGUUAAUAACACUGUAGAGUAAUUUGGUUGAAUUAUGUCCCUUUUGGACUUUGAAAUUGGUUCAGUUUUUGUACAAGUCCACAUUUUGACAUAUAGCUUUGAAUCUUUCAACACUAAGUCUUACCAUUACAAUGAUAUAACUUAAAAUAGUUGUUCAACAUCAUCACCCACAUCAUAUGACACAAGAUGCAUAACUCUUGCACCAAAAUUUAAUAAAUUAUGCCCUUUUUUUGCUUAAAAUGUACUUGUAUAGUGUUUUGAUACACUUUAUCUUUAUCUCUCAUAUUACAUAAUAUUUUAAAACAGACUUAGUUAUUAUGCAAUAUCUUCAUCAGCCAUUGGAGCCAUUAGUUGGUGUUUAGAUCCUAUAAUUGUAAAACAUAAAAUAAAUGUUGAAAGUUUC